UCCGGGUCUGCAUUCGAUACGGGCAGGCUAGAGUUCGGUAGGGGAGAUCGGAAUUCCUGGUGUAGCGGUGAAAUGCGCAGAUAUCAGGAGGAACACCGGUGGCGAAGGCGGAUCUCUGGGCCGACACUGACGCUGAGGAGCGAUAGCGUGGGGAGCGAACAGGAUUAGAUACCCUGGUAGUCCACGCCGUAAACGUUGGGAACUAGGUGUGGGCGACAUUCCACGUUGUCCGCGCCGCAGCUAACGCAUUAAGUUCCCCGCCUGGGGAGUACGGCCGCAAGGCUAAAACUCAAAGGAAUUGACGGGGGCCCGCACAAGCGGCGGAGCAUGUGGCUUAAUUCGACGCAACGCGAAGAACCUUACCAAGGCUUGACAUACACCGGAAACCUCUGGAGACAGGGGCCCCCUUGUGGUCGGUGUACAGGUGGUGCAUGGCUGUCGUCAGCUCGUGUCGUGAGAUGUUGGGUUAAGUCCCGCAACGAGCGCAACCCUUGUUCUGUGUUGCCAGCAUGCCUUUCGGGGUGAUGGGGACUCACAGGAGACUGCCGGGGUCAACUCGGAGGAAGGUGGGGACGACGUCAAGUCAUCAUGCCCCUUAUGUCUUGGGCUGCACACGUGCUACAAUGGCCGGUACAAUGAGCUGCGAAGCCGUGAGGUGGAGCGAAUCUCAAAAAGCCGGUCUCAGUUCGGAUUGGGGUCUGCAACUCGACCCCAUGAAGUCGGAGUCGCUAGUAAUCGCAGAUCAGCAUUGCUGCGGUGAAUACGUUCCCGGGCCUUGUACACACCGCCCGUCACGUCACGAAAGUCGGUAACACCCGAAGCCGGUGGCCCAACCCUUGUGGGGGGAGCCGUCGAAGGU
rnacentral:rRNA from 1 species